rnacentral:tRNA from 1 species
GCCUGACUGGCUCAGUUGGUGGAGCAUGUGACUUUUGAUCUCAGGGUGGUGAGUUCAAGGGCACUGUCAGGUG